GAGAAGAGGAAGCAGAGAAAUAAUGAGAGAGAGAAAGAGAAAGGAAGAAAGGGAAAGAGUGUAAGAGAGAAAGGCCGGGAGGGGGGAAAGGGGGAGAAAGUAAAAAAAAACAAAGAAGGAAAAAAAGAAGAAAAUCUAAAGGCCUCAACAAGCUUAACAUCCCAAGUUGUCAAGUUGGAAUAAUAACCAUAGACCAAUGGAAACCACCAAAAUGCUUUCUCCCCACCCCACCCCCAACCUACCACUACCAUCACCAUCACCACUAUACUCCACUCCUCCACCACCACCAGCCACGCAACCUCCUCUUGUGACACUCUAUACCAGAACAGGCCUCAGGAGCUCUUCACGGCAGCCUUUAACUUCUGCAUUGUCUCCUGACACAUGGCGUUCCCUCGAAAAUCUGCAACGUCAGAGACCCCGAUGAAUUUCGCCGUGAAGAACAAGCCUUUUCCUUCGAAACUGGCCGGAUCUGUUUUAAUCUCUGUAAGUUGGUUUGUUGGUUUGUUGGUUUGUUGGUUAGUGGAUGAAGUCAGUCAGACAAGAAAAGAAGAAAAUAUAUAUAACAAUGAAAACAUGUUUAAAAUGUAAAUGUAAAGAAAUAAUUAAAUAA